rnacentral:rRNA from 1 species
GAUGAACGCUGGCGGCGUGCCUAAUACAUGCAAGUCGAGCGAACGGACGAGAAGCUUGCUUCUCUGAUGUUAGCGGCGGACGGGUGAGUAACACGUGGAUAACCUACCUAUAAGACUGGGAUAACUUCGGGAAACCGGAGCUAAUACCGGAUAAUAUUUUGAACCGCAUGGUUCAAAAGUGAAAGACGGUCUUGCUGUCACUUAUAGAUGGAUCCGCGCUGCAUUAGCUAGUUGGUAAGGUAACGGCUUACCAAGGCAACGAUGCAUAGCCGACCUGAGAGGGUGAUCGGCCACACUGGAACUGAGACACGGUCCAGACUCCUACGGGAGGCAGCAGUAGGGAAUCUUCGGCAAUGGGCGAAAGCCUGACGGAGCAACGCCGCGUGAGUGAUGAAGGUCUUCGGAUCGUAAAACUCUGUUAUUAGGGAAGAACAUAUGUGUAAGUAACUGUGCACGUCUUGACGGUACCUAAUCAGAAAGCCACGGCUAACUACGUG